GGGCUCGAGAGGGUGAACACGCCACAAGGGGAGUGAGACACGGCCCUUAUUCUUCCGGGAGGCAGCAGUGGGGAAUAUUGGACAAUGGACCGAGAGUCUGAUCCAGCAAUUUUGUGUGCACGAAGAAGUUUUUCGGAAUGUAAAGUGCUUUCAGUCAGGAAACAGCUAUGACGGUACCAACAGAAGAAGUAACGGCUAAAUACGUGCCAGCAGCCGCGGUAAUACGUAUGUCCCGAGCGUUAUCCGGAUUUAUUUGGCGUAAAGCGCGUUUAGGUGGUUAUGUAAGUCUGAUGUGAAAAUGCAGGGCUCAACUCUGUAUUGCGUUGGAAACUGUAUAACUAGAGUACUGGAGAGGUAAGCGGAACUACAAGUGUAGAGGUGAAAUUCGUAGAUAUUUGUAGGAAUGCCGAUGGGGAAGCCAGCUUACUGGACAGAUACUGACGUUAAAGCGCGAAAGCGUGGGUAGCAAACAGG
rnacentral:rRNA from 1 species